rnacentral:tRNA from 2 species
GGGCUGGUAGCUCAAUUUGGCAGAGCGUCUGGCUUUUAACCAGACGGUUGAGGGUUCAAGUCCCUUCCAGCCCG